rnacentral:rRNA from 1 species
AUACGGAGGGUACAAGCGUUAUUCGGAAUCACUGGGCGUAAAGGACGCGUAGGCGGCUAUUUAAGUUGGAUGUGAAAGCCUAUGGCUCAACCAUAGAACUGCAUCCAAAACUAUUUAGCUAGAGUGUGGGAGAGGAAGAUGGAAUUAGUUGUGUAGGGGUAAAAUCCGUAGAGAUAACUAGGAAUACCAAAAGCGAAGGCAAUCUUCUGGAACACUACUGACGCUGAGGCGCGAAAGCGUGGGGAGCAAACAGGAUUAGAAACCCUUGUAGUCC